rnacentral:rRNA from 1 species
AUUGAACGCUGGCGGCAUGCCUUACACAUGCAAGUCGAACGGCAGCACGGGAGCAAUCCUGGGGGCGAGUGGCGAACGGGUGAGUAAAGUAUCGGAACGUGCCCAGGCGGGGGGGAUUACGUAGCGAAAGUUACGCUAAUACCGCAUACUAUCUAUGGAUGAAAACGGGGGAUCGCAAGAGCACGCGCGGUUUGAGCGCCAGGUAGCGGAUUAGGUAGUUGGGGGGGUAAAGGCUCACCAAGCCGACGAAGUGUAGCUGGUCUGAGAGGACGACCAGCCACACUGGGACUGAGACACGGCCCAGACUCCUACGGGAGGCAGCAGUGGGGAAUGUUGGACAAUGGGCGAAAGCCUGAUCCAGCCAUGCCGCGUGCAGGAUGAAGGCCUUCGGGUUGUAAACUGCUUUUGUACGGAACGAAAAGGUUUGGGCUAAUAAGCUGAGCUCAUGACGGUACCGUCAGAAUAAGCACCGGCUAACUACGUGCCAGCCGCCGCAGUAA